ensembl:lncRNA
UGCACGUCAGAGAUGAUUUCACAAUUGUACUGAUGCUGUUGUGUAUAAAGACCGAUCAGCAGCUUUCAGCCAGCCAAACGCUGUCUAUACACACGAGGAAGAGAUGGAGACUAUGAAGACUCUGCUGAAGGUUUAUCUGCUGCUGCUGAUCGGACUUCCCUUCACUCUGCAACAAACAGUGGGCAAGUACAUCACCGAGCUCCAGGUGUCUCUGGAUGAAGCUGAAGAGGCGUGUCUUAGCAGUCAAGGUUUCAUCAAAAUCGAUGUUGAUCUGAACAAAGGAGCUGAAGGAAAAUACAUCUACCUUUGGUACAAAAAGGCAGCAGCUCACCAAUCACCAGGAUUCAGCUUACAUUCAAUGGUGGCAUGAGCAGGGGUCUGAUCACUGCAGGUUACCAGAAGAUUGACAAGAACCUCAAUGCCGGAACGAGCGGGAGACAACAUCUACCUGUGGUACUACAGAGGUAACUCAGAGUACGAUGUUCCCAUUGUGAACCUUCAUGUCUCUAUAGAUGCAAGGGAGGAAGCCCUAAUGUUCGCACUUGGAUGGGAGAGACUGGCCUGUGAUCUGAACCGGAAAGCUAGAGGAAAAUGGAUCUACCUGUGGGUGAAGAGGGAGAGACCAACCUACAUCUGUGACAUCGCUGCCAAUGCUGACUAUGAUGGAGACGCUGACUACUUCCGGAACGGCUACAUCAGAGUGGACGAAGAUACCAACAGAGGUGCAGAAGGAUCCUUUGUCUUCAUCUGGUACCGUCAGACCAAUAACUCUCAAAGAGCCAUCACAGAUCUGCAGCUCUCCACUAACGAUAUAGAGAAGAUGUUGUUUCCCUAUAUGGGCUUUACAAGGGUAACUACUGAUCUAAGCAAGGGGGCAGGAGGAAGUUACGUGUACCUGUGGUACAAGAAAGGCUCCGGUCAUCCCAUUCGGGCGGUCUCUGUGAUCGUCAACACAGCAGCUGUGGAGGCGUACAGCAUUCCCUGGGUCUUCAUUAGACAAAAAAACCUCAACAGUGGGAACAACGGUAAUACACUGUACCUGACCUUCAGUUCGUUUUAGUAACAGAGCUGGGAAUGCUCACUGGGCAGAAACCAAAGAGUCUAUGGUGUUCCUGUUUAACCAGUUUGAUUGUUUUUCUUUCCUUGCUGAAAUGAUUUGACUCCAACAAUGAUCAUUGAUCCUACAGUCAAUCUGUUCGAUUAGCUCUGUCUCACUGUAUUCUGAUGAUUGUCACUGUUUCAAUAAAGUCUGUUCAGAAUAUGAAA